AUACGAAAGGUGCAAGCGUUGUUCGGAUUUACUGGGCGUAAAGAGAGUGUAGGUUGUUUAUUAAGUCGGAUGUGAAAUCCCGGGGCUCAACCUCGGAACUGCAUUCGAUACUGAUAGGCUAGAGUUUGGGAGGGGUAAGCGGAAUUCCGUGUGUAGCACUGAAAUGCGUAGAUAUACGGAGGAACACCUGAGGCGAAGGCGGCUUACUGGACCAAUACUGACACUGAGACUCGAAAGCGUGGGUAGCAAACAGGAUUAGAUACCCUAGUAGUCC
rnacentral:rRNA from 1 species